UACCCGCUGAAUUUAAGCAUAUAAAUAAGCGGAGGAAAAGAAACCAAACGGGAUUCCCUUAGUAACGGCGAGCGAACAGGGAGCAGCCCAGCGCCAAGGCUUGACACUCGACGUGUUCAAGCGAUGCGGCGUUAGUGUACUGGUGCAUCGUACGCUGCCAAGUUCUUCAAGUUCCUUUGACAGGGACUCCCAGAGUGGGUGCUAGGCCCAUAGAGGUUACAUGGCUGGCGUACGCAAACUAGUGCAUCUUAGAGUCAGGUUACUUGAGAGUGUAACCCAAAGCGGGUGGUAAACUCCAUCUAAGGCUAAAUACUGCAGCGUGACCGAUAGCAAACAAGUACCGUGAGGGAAAGUUGCAAAGAACUUUGAAUGAGAGAGUU
rnacentral:rRNA from 1 species